rnacentral:rRNA from 1 species
ACGGUCCUAAGGUAGCGAAAUUCCUUGUCGGGUAAGUUCCGACCUGCACGAAUGGCAUAAUGAUGGCCAGGCUGUCUCCACCCGAGACUCAGUGAAAUUGAAAUCGCCGUGAAGAUGCGGUGUACCCGCGGCUAGACGGAAAGACCCCGUGAACCUUUACUAUAGCUUGACACUGAACAUUGAAUUUUGAUGUGUAGGAUAGGUGGGAGACUUUGAAGUAGUCACGCCAGUGAUUAUGGAGUCGUCCUUGAAAUACCACCCUUUAACGUUUGAUGUUCUAACGAAGAUUACGAAACGUGGUCUCGGACAGUGUCUGGUGGGUAGUUUGACUGGGGCGGUCUCCUCCCAAAGAGUAACGGAGGAGCACGAAGGUUUGCUAAUGACGGUCGGACAUCGUCAGGUUAGUGCAAUGGUAUAAGCAAGCUUAACUGCGAGACAGACAAGUCGAGCAGGUACGAAAGUAGGUCAUAGUGAUCCGGUGGUUCUGAAUGGAAGGGCCAUCGCUCAACGGAUAAAAGGUACUCCGGGGAUAACAGGCUGAUACCGCCCAAGAGUUCAUAUCGACGGCGGUGUUUGGCACCUCGAUGUCGGCUCAUCACAUCCUGGGGCUGAAGUAGGUCCCAAGGGUAUGGCUGUUCGCCAUUUAAAGUGGUACGCGAGCUGGGUUUAGAACGUCGUGAGACAGUUCGGUCCCUAUCUGCCGUGGGCGUUGGAGAAUUGAAAGGGGCUGCUCCUAGUACGAGAGGACCGGAGUGGACGCACCACUGGUGUUCCGGUUGUGUCGCCAGACGCAUUGCCGGGUAGCUAAGUGCGGAAGAGAUAAGUGCUGAAAGCAUCUAAGCACGAAACUUGCCUUGAGAUGAGUUCUCCCUGUCUUUAAGACAGUAAGGGUUGUUUAAGACUAAGACGUAGAUAGGUCUGGUGUGUAAGCGGUGCGAGCCGUUGAGCUAACAGAUACUAAUUGCCCGAGAGGCUUAACUAU